AGUCACUGACAUUAGAUACCCGCGUAGUCCAGGGUGUAAACGCUGCGGGCUUGGUGUUGGGGGUCCUUUGAGGGCGCCCAGUGCCGGAGAGAAGUUGUUAAGCCUGCUGCUUGGGGAGUACGUCCGCAAGGAUGAAACUUAAAGGAAUUGGCGGGGAGCACCGCAACGGGAGGAGCGUGCGGUUCAAUUGGAUUCAACGCCGGACAACUCACCAGGAGCGACGGUUACAUGAAGGCCAGGCUGAUGACCUUGCCUGAUUUUCCG
rnacentral:rRNA from 1 species